UACAGAGGAGCCAAGCGUUGUCCGGAUUGACUGGGCGUAAAGCGCACGCAGGCGGACGCGCGCGUGGGGUGUGAAAUCUGGCCGCUUAACGGCCAGGCGCCAUCCCAUACGGCACGACUGGAGGGCUGCAGAGGUCGAUGGAAUUGCCGGUGUAGUGGUGAAAUGCGUAGAGAUCGGCAGGAACACCCAGGGGGAAACCAGUCGACUGGGCAGCACCUGACGCUGAGGUGCGAGAGCGUGGGGAGCAAACAGG
rnacentral:rRNA from 1 species